GCCAGGCCGACUGACGUACGUUCGCUGCGCCGCUUCGGCGGCGUCGCCAGCACUGCCCCGGAGCUCGCUUCGGGGUCGCAAUGCCAUGUCCUCUUUCUGCCGGAUCGCCCGCGAUCCGGCAGCUUUUGCAGUGGCGUGACCAGGCGAUUACAGUUGCCGUCACGCGCGGCUUGUUAAAAUUCGGAUAAUCUCAACGCAUCGACAGCCGGUUCAGCGUCUGUCUGCAUUGUUCCUCCAGACUUCGCAUAUGACCCAGCAACGCACUCUCAAGAACACCAUUCGUGCCACCGGCGUCGGCCUGCACAGCGGCGACAAGGUGU
rnacentral:sRNA from 1 species